AUGUUUUGUUUCUAUUAUAAGCCAUCUCCUCCUAUUUUGCAAAUCACAAAAAUAUUUGGUUCACAAAAGGGAAAAGAAAUUCGCAACUAUUUCAUUGAAAAACAACUCAAAACAACAAAAGCGCAGCAGCAAACCAAAACAACAAAAGCGCAACAAGAAAUACAAAAAACAAGCAGCACAACAUCCCAAAGCGGCAUAUGCAAGCUAUCAAAACCUUAUGUCAUCAUUUUCCUAAUAUUGUAA